rnacentral:rRNA from 1 species
CAGUAGCCGCGGGAAUACCGAGGGUGCGAGCGUUAAUCGGAUUUACUGGGCGUAAAGCGUGCGUAGGCGGCUUUUUAAGUCGGAUGUGAAAUCCCUGAGCUUAACUUAGGAAUUGCAUUCGAUACUGGGAAGCUAGAGUAUGGGAGAGGAUGGUAGAAUUCCAGGUGUAGCGGUGAAAUGCGUAGAGAUCUGGAGGAAUACCGAUGGCGAAGGCAGCCAUCUGGCCUAAUACUGACGCUGAGGUACGAAAGCAUGGGGAGCAAACAGGAUUAGAUACCCCUGUAGUCCCUGUCUCUUUACC